CUUUCCAAGUUCUCCGGCUGGAUUCCUCCUGGUGCCCCAGGCCGGGCGACACAGUUUGCAAAGACUCCUCUCUGUUGCUCUCACAUUUUAAAUUGCAGGCACUUCAGCCUGACCCCAAAUGCAGCAGAACUGUUCUGUCAGGAGUAAAGCAAUGGUCCAGAAAAUGCCACACGGAAGCAGCUGCAACAACAUCGGUGGUGGUGUCCCGGGAGGGAAGGACCAGUGUUUCAGCAGGAGGAUGGUGGGAGCCACGGCAGGACUGCCAGUGCUGCUGGAGGGGUGACAGCAGUGACUGAGAUUUGUUGAAGCCGUGUUGGUGUGUUUGGAGGAGCUGCUGGUGGUUAUCACCCUUCCAGGGACUUCCCAGUUUCCUUUUAAAGCUGCCUCAGCUUUGCAGGGAGCAUUCAUCUGGAGCUUUCCCUGAAGCUCAGUGUCCUGUUCCUGCACACAGCUGCUCAGGGAGCCCUGAGGGACAGGGGGUUUCCAUUGGAUUCUUUAUAGGCAGAGAAGAACAAGACAGAAAAUAUGACUCUUGUGGAAACACCCAAUGUUCAAAGACAACAGCUGCAUGCACACUGCUGCAAUGUACAGUAGGAGUUAGAUUUGACACUGUCAAAUGGUUUAUUCUGAGGAAAAUGAUUGUUCUGUGUAUCCAUAAAAAAUGUAAGGAGAAAGAUUUCCAAAUACAUUUCUGAGUAUCUCAUCAUUCCUCCGCUGGCGUGUCCCUCUGUGUGCACCUACGCGCUGCUUCCCGUUUAUGUGAUGGGGAUUUUCCAGAGGGAGGAAUUCACCACUGAAGUAUUUGGAUCCUGCAACUGCAGGUACAGCUUUGGAUUGAGAAGCUGGAGCAAGCCCAGAUGCUUCCAGCUGUCGUCGAUUCCUGCUCUCUGAAUCGCUUUGGAUGGCUACUGCAGCUCCUGCAGUUAACACAUCGCCCUCCUUGGUGUUUAGCAAAGGAAAAGGGCACAGACACUCCUCUGCUGGGCUUGCUUUGGAAGAUACAAAGGGUAGGAAAAGUUAUGUCUUGCAUGUUUAAAUAAUAAGGCCUAUAAAGCUUUUUGUGGCCUUAUAUAGAAAAAAAAGUGUUUUCUGGAGUGCUGGAAGUGCACAAAAUAGCUAUGGAGACAGACUGGACUCUGAAAUGGGUGGCCUUUUCUUCUGGAGGUCUUCCAGUGAUCUGUCUACUUCCUUUCUAAUCCCCUGUAAACUUGUAGCUGCAGUAGCAUUUUCAUAGCUCAGGAAGGCAUUUUCCUGUUCAUCCCCUCCAUCACUGGUGACUGUAGAACAAUUAUCAAAUCUCCACCAGUAUUCUCUGUUCUCAAGCUGAAUUGUACUUGUCUGUUUAACUGUCUUUAUUCCUGAUACAGGCUAGGAUCAUACACGUAGCAUUUCUUUGCUUGUUUUCCAUUCUCCUAUACAUUUUGAAGACUGGAAAAUCAGAUGUGUCCACAAGGUUUUGUACCUUGUGUCCAAGUGUUCAAGGUUUUACGCCUGGGACACACAGAGCACUAUGCUCACCUGAGUACCCGUGCUCUGCUCAGGGGGCUCACCCUGUGCUGCUGCUCAUGGAGCAAUCUGGCAGGUGCAGAAAGGUGUUUAACCCACCUUCUUCUCACAGUGCCCCUACGUGUCAGGGUCACUGGUGCAGAUCCUGCUCCAUGUUAAGCUCCACACUACAACCUAAAAAAAGAGAAGCAUCCCUCACAUAAAGAAAGAAGCAUCAUGAGGGAAAACACUGUGUCUUUGAGAAAAUUAUUUGAAACCUGAGUUUGUGUGGUCAGAUAAUUUCUAAAUUUUCUAAACAAACCACUAAACCACUCACUUCUAACUUCCCUGUGGAAAAUAAGUACUAGAACAAAUUGAAUUAAGAAAGUGAACUUGACAGUGUCAUAUUUUAUGUCUUUAUGUUUUCAUGUGUGCAUUUUUCUGUUGACCACAAACUAUUCAGUAAUUAAUCACUCAUUGUGACCUUAGUUGUCUUUUCCUGUAAGUUAACCUCUUUCAAGAAAGAGGCACAUUGGGCCUGCCUAUUUGUUUUAUUUUGGUGUUGGUGGUGUUUUUUGUUGUAGUUUUUGUUUGCUUGUUUGUUUUUUAAAUCUGUAGUGCAAUUUACAGUGUGAUGGUACAUUUUUAACAUCAUAUCUGUCCGUGUUAGGAGCCUGCCAUUUCCCAAAUGGAGGAAAUAGAGGCCUGUAGUGAAAGCUGUUAACUGUCUUUCCAUAUAAAAAUCAAAUGCAGUUAACCACAGCAGGGAAUCCAAGGCUGUGUGGAUGUUAACAUGCUUAAACAAUUUUCUGUCAUCCAGAGCUACUUACCAUGUCUUUCCUCCUAUGGCUGCCCAUGAAAACUGGAUCCAGCUUACAUGUCUUCCCAUAAUUCCUGCAAUUUAGAUAUAUUUAUUAUAUGUUUUAUUAUCUCAACUUUUAUGGCCAGCAACAAUCCAGACAAAAUUAUUCAUUCAAACACCAGAUCCUGUGAUAAAAUGUUGGAUCCUACUGAAGACUGUGUCCCUUGAGGCUAUAAGGUUUCCCAAGAUUGCAAAACAGAGGUGCUGUCUCUUCUCCAGUUCCCUUGUGACUUUGGAUGUACUCAUAAGAAUUCCCAACCCUUUUUUACUCAUUUUCCUAUAGAACAAAAAACUAAGAUUAAUAUAUUUAAGGGGGCUGUAAGUGACAUUUUGAUGGUAGAAAAGCUUUUACCUUUUUAUUAGUCCAGCAGGCCUUGCCUCU